UUUCCAAAUCUGGAACGCCUAUCUUCUUCAAUUGUUGAUCUUCAAAACCUCACUAAGUUGUAUUUGCGGAGUUGUCCUAAGCUCAAAUACUUUCCGGAGAAGGGCCUGCCUUCCUCACUUUUGCAAUUGUGGAUCUGGGGAUGUCCGUUGAUAGCAGAGAAGUGCAGAAAGGAUGGAGGACAAUAUUGGGACUUGUUAACCCAUAUACCUUGUGUUGUCAUAGAUGGUAAAUCCGCUUUUGGCGAUAACACAUAGGACGGUUGAAAUAUUUUAUUGUUAGUAUUUUUAAAAAAAAAAAAUUGGGCGUGUAUUAUGAGUUGGUGAUUAAUGGGUUUUCGAAAUAAAAAGAACAAUGGGCUCGCAUUAUUUAGCUAGCAAAGGAGGAGGACUCUAUUAAUUAAUUAAUUAAUUAAUUUCUUAUGCCUAUUUCAUUCUCAGCUGUUGAAACUUCAGUUUCUUAUAUUUGUCUUUUCCGCGGUUCGGUUACAUAUAUUUGUCCUUUACAUAAUUUCUUAUGUAAAAUAUUUUAUUAUUAGAAUUUUUUUUUCUUUUAAAUCAAGCGUGUUUGUGUAUGUAAUUUUAAAAUUCAAAUUUGGCUGUUGAAAUAAACUUCAGUUUCUUUUAUUUGGCUGUACGGUUACGUAUGUGUAAUAUUUCUCUUCAUCGGACUUCGGCAAAAAUUGUUAAUGUUCUUAUUAGUAAUUAAUUAGUACGUUAGUGUUCUUCUUUUGUUCCAUAAUUUAUCAAAAUCAUUUUAUUACAUAAUCUUCGUACAUGUACAUCGUCAUCAAAUUCUAUAACAACAAAAACAGAAAAUCAAAAGAAAACAAGAACAUGCCACACAAAUCAAAAACGAAAAGAACAUUAUAACACCAAGUAUUAUAUUUCUCUAAUUACAUUUCGGCUUUGGUGGCCUUAACUUAAAAUCUCCUCUAGAACAAUCUGCCUCAUUAGCAAUAAUGUUAUAAUGUUCUUUUGAUGUUGUUUUUAUCAGUUACUGAAUAUUUGAAUUCAUCAAAACUGUUAUAAUUGAAACGGAUCUUCAUAUUAAUACAUCAACAUGACAGAAAAGGGAAUAUUUUUAAUGAAUUAAUUUCUUAUUGAGUAUGAAUGCGUAAUGUAUAAUGGCUACCUCUUUCUUAGUUGUUCAAAUUAAAUUCAUUUUGCUGUACGGUUAUGUAUAACGAGAUUGAAAUUGUUUCUUCACCAGAAGUAAUGUUAUAAUGUUCUUUUAAUGGUUUAGUAAAGUGGUUUUUGAUUGCCGAUUAAGCACUUGAAGGCUGGACUGCUGCAGUACAGAAUUAUUUAUACUCUCUAAUCUGAUACACUUUAAGCAAGUUCUUGAAUUAAUUGCUUCUGUGCCAUCGCUUUUAUUAUUUGCAAAUAUUGAUCAUCAUCAGCUCCUUUUGGGAUGUUAGAGAGCUUUGUUCAGAGAGAAAGACCAUAAAAACAGAUUACAUAACUUGUCAUAUAAAAAUACUAUGUUCGCAUAUUACUCACAGUUAGCCAAGGCGCCGUCUGGUCAUAAUUGACAUAAGAGCUCAACCGUAAGUAACACAAUACACAAUCUGAAGAAUAGUUGCUUGAUCAGGAAGUCCAACUUUGUAGCUAUAAUAUGCUAUUUUCAUAAGACUUCGUUAAAGAUUGUUUUGUAAUUAAUUUCACACAACACAACCCUACAGAAAAUUGACCAAAACAAAAUGAAAUAUCAAGGCUGUAAUUAGCACUUGAUCAAAGGAAAAGAAGAAACAAAUGAAUUUGUAAGGAGUACUGCGAUACCCAUAUGAAUUUGUUUAAAGUUCUUUAUCAUAGAAAAAAUCAAUUGUAUGUCCUUCGUAUUUUCUCUAUAAAAACUUGCAUUAUAGACUGUAUGUUUGUUUUGAGAUUUACUGGAGUGAAUUGUUGUUUUUGUGAUUAUCAAAUAAUAUACUUCAGAGUUAUUUAUUUUUGUGUACAUAUAAAAUUGAAUUUAUUUUAAUGUGCACAAGAGUCAUUGGAAGGAUUUGCAUUAGGUAGAAUUUCACACGAAGAACAAGACUAAGAAAAUUUAAGGUGAUUUGCAUUUAUAAUCAGCAAACGACUCAACAUAUCAGAAUGAGAAGAACAUUGUUAUGCCGCCGGUGAACACACCAAACAGCAAGGUUUCCACACUUUUCAAGCAAGUGCAAGCUCCCAGAAUUUUAAAGAAACGAGUGAAUGGCAAGAGAGAAUAGAGAGGAAAAUUCAGAGAAGAAGAAGAAACUAAGUCCAGAACUUUUAUAUAUCCCCUCAAAUACAACCAUGGAAAUACUUAUAGCAGCAAGAAUAUGCUCACAGCUGUCAAAACUAAAUAACAACCUCUCUCUAUAACAAAAAUUAUUCUCUAAAUAGCUAAGGCCGUUAGAAACCGAGUCCUCUGCUCAUUUAUGCUCAGUGUGUGUAAUCCUUGAACCAUUUGGGAGGCUUCCUUACGCGACUUGGCUUGAUGUUAUCUUGGGGUCGGUUUUGGAUAGCCUCACUUGAGUUUGCCUGGGCCUUUUCCUCGCUAUUGAUAGAGCUAGCUGAGUUGGGCUUGUCUAACUGUAAUAUUGGGGUUGUAUCAAACAUUCAGGAAUCACCAGGCAGGACAAGAUCAAGGAGGCAACAAGGAAGCAUUUGUUUUGGCCAAAUAAAGUUUGCAGAUCUUUUAAUGCUAAGAUUAGUAAUCAAACCAUUAUUGGGAUAUUGGUUUGGCGAUGUUGAAUUAAUGGCCCUGAGCUUUAUGAUCUUUAUUACAUAUGUAUUUAUUGCAAUUACACAUAUAUGUAAUAUGUACCUUGUUGGCUUAUUUAUUUAUAUUAAUAAUUAAUAUGAUCUUUUAAAACUUAGCCAAAGUUGUUGAACAUAAAAACACUCAAGUAUUCAGUGUUCUUGAUUAAAUUAUCAUCAAUAGACAUAAUUAAAAAAAGAAAAUCCGAUUAUUACAAUGAUUGGAUUAGUUGGCUACAUUAGUGUUAUUGUCUAAUUAUCAAGGAUAACAUUCAAUUAUAUAUAACAUGUCCUUCACAUUUUCUCUUUUAAUUAAAAUUGUAACAAGACUUGCAAUUUAGACCAUGUAUUCGUUAUGUUGUUUAUUGGAGUGAAUUGAUGUUUUUGUUGUGCUUGUCAGGGAUUGUCUUUGUAAGUUAUUUAUUUUGUAUAUAUGAAAUCAAUGGGGGUUUCACUCUUAUGGAUGGAUGUUGUCGGGUACCAAGAAGUAAGAACUGAUAGUCGUGUUAAUUAAUUAGUAUAAAUUAGCUGAAUGUUCAAUGUUCAUGCUCUUUUGAGCUAGAUAUGGCAAUGAAAAUUGAGUUUCUGUGAUGUAAAAUAUGAAGCUAUUCAAUCAAGCAACUCUGCUUUUCAAUUUUCUUACAUCUAAGUCAAGUAGCACUUAUUUAUAAAUCCUCGAGAGCACAAACCUAAUCCAGGUUCAUACUUAUUAAAUUUGACAACAGACAAUGAAGUGUAAAAAGUGAAAUUCUUAUCUAUGAUAAGCACCUAAAUAAUUGCAUUGAGUUUUUCCAUUUUCAAAUUUUCAUUGCUAAUUCAACAAUUGAGAGACUCAAACAUAUGGAAUAAGAAAUUAACAUAUUCAACCCAAAAGGUUAUUCAACUUAGAUGAUUCAAUAUAACACUUAAUAAGCUUAUGAGUCUCAUUUAAGGAAUAUUAUAAUUUUACUUGGAUUGCUAGAAAUCACGGAAUGUUAUUCAUUUAAGUAUGUGAUACACUUGUUUGAUGAAUUGCUUAUAUGAGUAGAUUAUAUUUUUAUUUUGGUCAUAUUUCUUAUUUUUCUAAUCCCAUCUGUGAUCUGUCCCCUAUUUCCCAUCCCACAUCAAAUGGUGAUAUAGCUUCCCUAUCAUAUGUCGAACCCAUUAAAGCCAAAAGUAAGAAGUUAAAGAACUAUUUUGUACUGGCUAUACAAAGAACUAUAUUACAGUACUACACACCCACCCAAAAAAAUUAAAAAAAUAAAAUGAAGGCACCAUUCAUACUUCCAAAUCCAGCACUAGCACUUGAAAACAAUAGAAACAAAGGAAUUUGCCAAUAAAAAAAGUCAGCUGGAGAAAGCCAAUAACAAACCCAACGACAAUUGAACCAAUAUAAAUUUAAGAGUAAUGAUAUAUUGAUUUUCUGCAGUUUACCUUUUUUUUCAUUAUGUUAAAGUUCCAUUAUUUUUAUUGCUAUUCUCUAUGUUUACCAUUCCGCAUAAAUAUAUAUCCCCAAUAUAUUAGUUAUCACUUCUUAGAAAUUUUUGUAAUUAAUAUCAAUAUUCAAUCAUUUAGAAAAACCUGAUUAUUAAUGAUUAGUUUAUCUCUGAAUUAAAACUAGACACAUGUAAAUAUGUGAACUCGAAUUAAAUGUUGAUAUACUUGUAAUAUAUAUGAGUCGUAUCUAAAAAAGCAAGUUCUAAUUUCUACUUCCAUCUUUUAAAUGCCAGGUCGAUGCACAUUAUCUAUGCAUGCAUGUACUGAAUAGGGAAGUAACACAUAAAGAUGGAUUCUUUUUGCUGGACACUGAUUUUUAUUUGUCAUUUUUUCCAAUUGUUCAAUGAUGCUUGCUCCACCCAUGUCCAGUUAGUCAAGCAGACAAGCACAAGCGCGUGAAGCUUGCUAAAUUAUUGAUGCAUAAAGUGGAAGCAAAAGCCAGAGGCAGCCCCCACCGCCACCGAUAAUUUUUUGUUUAAUGUUAUUUCGUGUAUAUCAUUUAUAACAUAUUAAUCGACUUAUUAUUUUAUUAAGUAUAUAUAUAUAUAUAAUAAAUGAGUCGAAUUUAUGUUCAGCUAAAAUUUUGUUAUAUUUCACACGACAGUAAAUAGUUGUCAAAAAAUUAUGGUGUCCUUUUAAGUCUUUGUCUUAGCAUUGAAAUUAAUUCAAUAAAUGAAGUAAUUAUAUGGCAAAAGGAGAGAGAGACAGAAACGUUGUGAUUUAACUUGGUUUAUAAGUUUGAAGAUUUGUAAAGCGAAGGUUCGUAGUAGAUGCAUUCCAUUUUCUUCUUUAUUCAGCAUUUACCCGGACGCUGGAUUAAUGUUGUUGACCCUACAAAUAUCAAAGUCCGAUUUUAUAUUUAUUUAUUUAUUUUUUUAUAUACGAUUUUAUAUUUAUUGAUUCUAGUAACUAGUGGUGGUCACUGGGGAUUGGUGACUUGCUAAACUAUUAAUGGGAGGUGGGCUCUCCUUUUGUUUUCACUUUCCUGGAAUAAACAAGUGGAAGACUUGUUACAUGCACUUUGCUUGACUCUCCAUGCUUACUGUUUUAUUUUCUGAUUUUGUUUCCCAAAACUCAAAGUUCUGUUUCUUUCUUUGCGCCAAAAAGAAAAAAAAAAUGUCAAUCAUCGGAGAGGCAAUCCUUACGGCGUCCGUUGAUUUGCUGGUCAAUAAGUUAGCUUCAGAGGGGAUUCGGUUGUUUGCACGCCAAGAGCAAAUCCAGGCCGACCUAAAGAAGUGGAAGAAUAUGUUGGUGAUGAUCAAGGCGGUGCUUGCUGAUGCUGAGGAGAAGAGGACGACUGAUGCACCACUUUUACUCCACAAUCGAUCCAGUUGUUGCACCACUUUUACUCCACAAUCGAUCCAGUUCGAUUAUGCCUUGAUGUCCAAAAUAGAAGAGAUCAACGGCAGAUUUCAAGAUAUUGAAACACAGAAAGACUCGCUGGGUUUGAACGUAAGUUCAGCUGGGAGGUCCAAAAAAGACAGGCAAAGACUACCCACAACCUCUUUGGUGAAUGAAGCCAAGGUAUAUGGCAGGGAAACAGAAAAGAAGGAAAUUGUUGAAUUGUUGUUGAGGGAUGAUUUAAGAAAUGAUGGUGAAUUCUCUGUUAUUCCUAUCAUAGGUAUGGGCGGGCUGGGCAAAACCACUCUUGCUCAGCUUGUCUAUAAUGAAGAUCGAGUGCAGGGUCAUUUUGAUCUCAAGGCAUGGACUUGCGUCUCUGAUGAUUUUGAUGUUAUCAGGCUUACAAAAUCAAUCCUACUUUCAAUUGCUAGUGACCAGAAUGUGGAUAAUGACGACUUGAAUAAGCUUCAAGAGAAAUUGAAGAAACAACUAUUUGGAAAGAAAUUUUUGCUUGUUUUAGAUGACGUUUGGAAUGAGAAUUACAAUGAUUGGGUUGACAUAUGCCGUCCGUUUGAAGCUGGCGCACCGGGAAGUAAGAUUAUUGUCACAACCCGUAAUCAAGAGGUUGCAGCCAUCAUGGGGACUGCUCCAGCUUAUCAAUUGGAAAAGUUGUCAUUUGAUGAUUGUUUGUCCGUGUUCGCUCAACACUCUUUGGGGACAACAGAUUUCAGUUCAAAUAAGGCAUUGGAGGAAAUUGGCAAGAAGAUAGUGAUCAAAUGCAACGGCUUGCCCUUGGCUGCGAAAACUCUUGGUGGACUCUUACGUGGUAAAUGUGACCGAAGUGAUUGGGAAGAUGUGCUCAGUUGCAAGAUAUGGAAUUUACCAGAGGAGAGAUGUGACAUUAUACCGGCGCUUAGAGUGAGCUACUAUUAUCUUUCGGCACCUUUGAAACAGUGCUUUGCAUACUGCUCAUUGUUUCCAAAGGAUUAUGAAUUUGAAGAGGAGGAGAUAAUUUUGUUAUGGUGUGCUUCGGGUUUCUUGGAUCACGGAGAGGGAGGGAAUCCUAGUGAAGAUCUAGGUAGAAAGUUCUUUCAAGAGCUACGUUCAAGAUCUUUUUUCCAGCAAUCAAGCAACGAUGCAUCACGAUUUGUGAUGCACGAUCUUAUCAACGACCUUGCCCAUUGGGCUGCGGGGGAGAUAUACUUCACAAUGGAGUAUACCUCGGAGGUUAACAAGCAACAGAGUUUUUCCAAUAAUCUUCGUCAUCUAUCGUACAUUCGUGGAGAAUAUGAUGGCGUUAAACGGUUUGAGGGCUUGUACGAUAUCCAACAUUUGCGAACUUUUUUACCAGUAAAGCUGUCAAAUAGUUUGGAUGGAUACUUGGCUCAUAGCAUUCUUCCUAAGUUGUUCAAACUCCAACGCUUGAGGGUCUUCUCCUUGUUUGGAUACCGCAUCUCUGAGCUACCAAAUUCAGUAGGUGAUUUGAGGUAUUUAAAGUACCUUAACCUAUCUGGAACUGAAAUUAGAACUCUGCCUGAAUCAGUGAACAAGCUUUACAAUUUGCACACACUUUUGUUGGAGGGCUGUCGGGAACUGAAGAAGUUGUGUGCAGAAAUGGGAAGCCUCAUCAAAUUGCAUCAUCUUAAAAAUUCAAAUACAGAUUCCUUGGAGGAAAUGCCACUAGGAAUUGGUAAUUUGACUUGUCUUCAGACGUUGUGUAAUUUUGUUGUGGCAAAAGACAGUGGUUCCGGGUUAAGAGAGCUGAAGUCGUUGACGCAUCUUAAGAGGACACUUAAAAUUUCAAAAUUGGAGAAUGUAAAAUGCGUUGGUGAUGCCAUGGAGGCUCAAAUGGAUGGAAAGAAGAAUCUGAAAGAAUUAUCGCUUAAUUGGACUUGCAGUACCGAUGGUUCAUCGUCAAGGGAGGCAGAAACUGAAAUGGGCGUGCUUGACAUGCUAAAACCUCAUACAAAUCUGGAGCAAUUUUGUAUCAAAGGCUAUGGAGGUAUGAAAUUUCCAACUUGGUUGGGAGAUUCCUCAUUCUCAAAUUUGGUGACCCUAAAAUUUGAAAAUUGUGACAUGUGUACUGCCCUGCCGUCAGUCGGCCAACUACCCUCUCUAAAGCAUCUUGCAGUAUGUGGAAUGAGCAGAGUAAAGAGGCUGGGUUCAGAGUUCUAUGGGAAUGAUCCUCCAAUUCCUUUUCUAUGCUUGGAGACUCUUCGUUUUGAAGACAUGCAAGAAUGGGAAGACUGGAUUCCCCAUGGAUCCAGUCAAGGAGUUGUUGAAGGGUUUCCUAAAUUGAGAGAGCUUCACAUUUUAAGAUGUUCUAAAUUGAAAGGAACAUUUCCAGAGCACCUUCCUGCAUUGGAGAUGCUUGUUAUUGAAGGAUGUGAAGAAUUGUCAGUUUCGAGUCUUCCAGCUCUUUGCAAAUUACAGAUUGGUGGAUGUAAAAAGGUUGUGUGGGAAAGUGCAACUGGUCAUCUCAGAUCUCAGAAUUCAGUGGUUUGUAGAGAUGCAUCAAAUCAAGUGUUUCUCGCAGGGCCAUUAAAGCCGCAACUGCCAAAAUUGGAAGAAUUGGAGAUAAAUGAUAUGAAAGAGCAUACAUAUAUAUGGAAGAGUCAUGACGGAUUACUACAAGACAUUUGCUCUCUCAAAAGAUUGACGAUUGACAGCUGUCCCAAACUUCAAUCCUUGGUGGCGGAGGAAGAGAAAGACCAACAACAGCAGCUCUGCGAGUUGUCAUGCAGACUCGAAUAUCUAGGAUUGAGCGACUGCCAAGGCCUUGUGAAGCUGCCACAAUCAUCGCUCAGCCUGAGUUCCUUGAGAGAGAUAGAAAUCUGCGGUUGUCAUUCCCUUAUUUCCUUUCCUGAGGUUGCUCUGCCUUCCAAGUUGAAGAAAAUUGAGAUUAGCAAAUGUGAUGCACUGAAAUCGUUACCAGAGGCAUGGAUGUACGACUCCAAUUCAUCUCUCGAGGACAUGAGUAUUAGGAAGUGCUAUUCGUUGACAUAUAUUGCUGGAGUCCAGCUACCACUGAGCCUUAAGAGGUUGGACAUCCUUAAUUGCGAUAAUAUAAGGACUUUGACAGUGGAAGAGGGCAUCCAGUGUAGCAAUAGCAGCAGCAGCAGCAGAAGGUAUGCCUCAUCUCUUCUUGAGGACUUAACAAUUUACAGGUGUCCAUCUCUGACGUGUAUAUUUUCAAAAAACGAGUUACCUGCCACGCUGGAGUCCCUUGAAGUUGGCAAUCUACCUCCGUCUCUUAAGAGCCUUAAUGUUUGGAGUUGUUCAAAGCUGGAGUCAAUAGCAGAAAGGUUGGACAACAACACAUCUCUUGAAAAAAUCAGUAUAGAGAGGUGUGGAAAUCUGAAAAAUUUACCGAGUGGUUUACAUAAUCUCCGAGAGCUUCAAAAGAUUGAGAUAGGCGAAUGUGGAAAUCUGGUGUCCUUUCCCGAAGGGGGAUUGCCUUGUGCGAAACUCACGAGGCUGCAGAUAUCUGAUUGUGAGAGACUAGAGGCCUUACCCGAGGCAUUGCACAAUCUGAGCUCUCUUGAAGACUUAAAAAUAGGAGGUGAGCUUCCAAGCCUUGAAGAAGAUGGCCUUCCCACCAACCUUCAUUUUCUGAAGAUUGAGCGUAAUAUGGAGAUUUGGAAGUCAAUGAUUGAGCGGGGCCGGGGAUUCCGCAGAUUCUCCUCUCUGCGAGGACUUAAAAUCAUCGGAUGCGAUGACGACAUGGUGUCAUUCCCACCGGAGGACAUAAGAUUAGGGACCACGCUUCCUCUUCCUGCCUCUCUAACAUAUCUGAAGAUUGAUAAUUUUCCAAAUCUGGAACGCCUAUCUUCUUUAAUUGUUGAUCUUCAAAACCUCACUCAUUUGUAUCUCUAUGAUUGUCCCAAGCUCAAAUACUUUCCGGAAAAGGGCCUGCCUUCCUCACUUUUGCUAUUAAUUAUCUGGAAAUGUCCGUUGAUAGAAGAGAAGUGCAGAAAGGAUGGAGGACAAUAUUGGGACUUGUUAACCCAUAUACCGCGUGUUGUUAUAGAUGGUAAAUCCGCUUUUGGCGAUAACACAUAGGACGGCUGAAAUAUUUUAUUGUCAGUAUUUUUUUUUUUAAUUGUGCGUGUAUGUGUUGGUGAUUAAUGGGUUUUCGAAAUAAAAAGAACAAUGGGCUCGCAUUAUUUAGCAAAGGAGGAGGACUCUAUUAAUUAAUUAAUUAAUUAAUUAAUUAAUUUCUUAUGCCUAUCUCAUUCUCAGCGGUUGAAACUUCAAUUUCUUAUAUUUGUUCUUCU
rnacentral:lncRNA from 1 species